rnacentral:ncRNA from 1 species
GCAGAGUAGGAAUGCAGGCGUUAAGUGCCGGCUGUACAGGGAGUUGACAGCCGGACGAAGGAGAAAUCCGCGGUUUGUGUUCCGCAUCCCGCUGC